rnacentral:rRNA from 1 species
AUGUACGGCGCCCCACAGCACAGGACGUUUCCUCGCAGGUGGAACGGCGGUGAGAUAAGAAUACCGGGGCAGGCAGGCAUGGCGGCGUCGGUACAGCAUGUGAGUUGUGAAGCUAGCAGGUUGCCGGCAGGGCAAACGGUAGCGACCGGCAGCGGAGAUGCCGCCGAUUCGGGGGAUAAUUCUGGUCGGCGCUCCAGCCUCCAGGCAUGCAUCGCGCUUGCCGUCGGCGGGAGCGGCGCGUCUGAUCGAUCUGAUUCUCCUCAACUGGCAAUGCAAAUAUCGCCGGUCUCGAACCCGGCGCCGCGGCACGCUUUAGGAAAGGGAGGAAGGAAUCUCUGUGGCUUUCGAUGA